GACGAACGCUGGCGGCGUGCUUAACACAUGCAAGUCGAACGAAAAUACCAAGCUUGCUUGGUUGAUUAGUGGCGAACGGGUGAGUAACACGUGAGUAACCUGCCCCUUACUUUCCUGGAUAACUGCUCGAAAGGGUAGCUAAUACGGGAUAUUCUGACCAGCCUGCAUGGGUUGGUUUGGAAAGGUUGUUUUUCUGGUAAGGGAUGGGCUCGCGGCCUAUCAGCUUGUUGGUGGGGUGAUGGCCUACCAAGGCUUUGACGGGUAGCCGGCCUGAGAGGGUGGACGGUCACACUGGGACUGAGAUACGGCCCAGACGCCUACGGGAGGCAGCAGUGGGGAAUAUUGCACAAUGGGCGCAAGCCUGAUGCAGCGACGCCGCGUGAGGGAUGAAGGCCUUCGGGGUGUAAACCUCUUUCGUCAGGGAACAAGGCACUGCUUUUGUGGUGGUGUUGAGGGUACCUGGAUAAGAAGCGCCGGCUAACUACGUG
rnacentral:rRNA from 1 species